UCCUGCAGCCCUGCCAGGCUCUGAAGGCAACACAUGGUGACAAGGUGCUGAAGUCAUCAUCCUAAAUCAGAGAUUUUAGUGGCUGACAUUCAGUAUUCUGAGAUUUUUCAAAAGCAUUUUAAAAAGCCUGAAGAGCAGUGGAAUCCUGGGUGGUUCAGGCUCUCUAGGUGUUUGCGAGUGAUUCAUCAGAACACUCUGACAGCAGCUUUUGUACAAUUUGUUGUCUCUGUGGACAGAGACAACAAAUCCCAGAUGGGUGAAGUAGCUUUGGCUGAAUCUGGGGUUGAUCUGCCUACAAAACCAGGGUGGCCCUACAUCCUGCCCUUUCUCUCCUCUACCUGUGCCCUGUCUGGUAAGCAUUUCUGUUUCUUGGAAAAGCUUUGCAGCCCUGAGAAAAAGGGCAAAUUCUUUUUCUAUGAUGAAGCUCAGCCAUGGAGUGUUUAGCCACAAUGUAUUGUAGAUUAAAAAGAAGUUUACAUGGGUUAAAAAUGCAGUGUUGAUAGGGGGAAAAAAAAAAAAAGUAUUGGUAAAGGAGUGAUACUGCCUGGGAAAGGGGAGAUUUGUGUGGGGCUGUGUCCUGCCGUGGGUGCAGGGUGGGUUCAAUGCCGAGGAGAUUCUGCAGAACAGAAGCUCAGACUAUAAAAAACUCUAUAAAAAUCUCUGGGUUUCCGGUCAUUUGAGGCUGCUGACAGACAGAACAGCUCCAUGGCUUAACAAAGCAGCUGUGAAUUAGGCUUUGGAGAAGCAUCAGUUUUCACCAAUGCUAGAUGGAGCUCUGCUACUCGCAAACACCACACCUGUGUAGGCUUUCAGACCAGUGUUCACACUUCUGAGCUGUGCCGGUGUCUCAGGAUCCCCCGUGGCUGUCAGCUGCCCAACACAGCUUCCAGGGGCCUUUUCCAGGUUUUCUGAGGAAGACAACAGGUGAUAGGAUGGCUGGGUCAAGGUGUGAAGGGUGCCAAGGACUUCAUGGCAGCAAAGAUGUGCUCACAGCUCUCCGGGCCAUCACAGAGCUCGGACAGGGGAUGUCACAGGAUGGGCCCUUGGCUGCGAUCCCAGUGUUGCCCUGGCAUGGGCGAGUGUGGCCUGGCAUUGCUGGAGAUUCGUGCCCUUCCUGCUCUCUGCCUGGCAGCUGCUGUUGUUAUCUCCAUUGCCAUGGCAAUGCCAGCCUGGCUCCCACGGCGUGUCCGCCUGUGCCUCCGCCAGGCAGACGCGGUCCCACGCCGGGCUGGAGCCCCGCUCCCACCACAGCUCACCCAGCUGAACAGCCACGCCACAGACAGGGGUUUAGCACAACCCCAAAACGCUGUGGGGAUGGAGAUGGGCAUGUCCCCUCCCCCGGGAGGUGAUAUCUGGGUGGGAAGCAGGGGGAGAAGGAGAGUCUGCACCUGGAACAUCUCCCAGCCCUGCCCUGCUGUGUCCAGCCAGGUGCCUUCCACCACAGCAGGACCCCUGUGCCCCACAGCCACCCUGGGCUCAGCCAUAGCCCCCCUGUGCUGGUACCAGCCCCUGGCCCCAAAAGUCGUAUUGAUCAGCACCUGGCUGCACCAAUAUUAAAGUGUUUGCCAGCAACUGCUGAUUUAACAAAUCCUCCUGUCUGCUUAUUUAUGCCAUCUUCCCGCCUCCCACCUGGACCUUCUUGAUGCUUUAGGAAUUUUGCAAAUGUUUUAAAGGCUGCAUUUCAAAGUGCACCAGGCAGCUAGCAAGGAGCAGGUCACUGGAAAGGGUGAGGAGAGGCAGAAAAGAUCCUCCACCCUGCAAGGCAGCCGCUGCUCUCACCAUCAUCCAUCCUUGCAUGCUCCCUGCACUCUCCCACUGCAGUUCCUUGUGUUCUG